rnacentral:rRNA from 1 species
CCCUUAGAUGUUCUGGGCCGCACGCGCGCUACAAUGAUGAAUUCAACGAGUUUAUAACCUUGGUUGAAAAGCCUGGGUAAUCUUUUGAACUUUCGUCGUGAUGGGGCUAGACCCUUGCAAUUAUUGGUCUCCAACGAGGAAUUCCUAGUAAACGCAAGUCAUCAGCUUGCAUUGAUUACGUCCCUGCCCUUUGUACACACCGCCCGUCGCUCCUACCGAUUGAAUGAUCCGAUGAAUAUCAUGGAUUGAGGAUGCAAGUAGGUUAGCCUAUCUUCAUCUUCGAGAAGUGAAGUAAAUCUUAUCAUUUAGAGGAAGGAGAAGUCGUAACA